ACUGCCUUUCCCACUGGCUCUCUGAGGUCUUAUUUUCAGUCAUAAAGACUUGCUGUUGGCAUAUGAAGAGUCCCACCAGCCUGCAAUGAUGGAGGUGAAACCUCAUGGUCAGCCAGCUCUGCUCCAACCCAACAUUUGGGAAUGAAGUCUCACACUCAAAGUUCAAAGCCAGACAUAGACUUCGGAAGCCAAUGCUGCUACUGGGAUACAGAUGUUGGUGAGAUUGAAAGAAGAACACACCACAGAGGGUGGCUCCCAAAGGACAUCUGCUCUUCCAAGCAGGACCCAUCCUACUAAGGAGCCUCACCUUUAUCAUCCUGUCUAAUCUGUUAAGAAUAUUUUAGGAUAUUCUGCCUCAGGUGUGUCAACUGAAUAGCCACAGUGAAAUAUACAAGUAUAGGAGGCAUGGCCCCUUGCCAGGAGGGCUAACACAAACUCAGUAAGAGGGAAAUACAAGUGAAACACCAAAUGAUUCUGUUAAUACCUAGGAGAGUAACAACUGUGACUCUAAGAAGCAGAAGAUGUUUAAGUGCAAAAAAGGCAGAGUAGGAAACAAAUUACAAUUAGUCAAGUCUACAAAAUGAGGCUUCCUGGGAAAGGAGAACUUGUAGAGCUAAGUGUUCAACAAAGUUAACAGCGAUUGAAGGAAGAGGGCAUCUGGGUAGAUGAAAUGAUACCUGUGAAAUCCCAAACCUGAAAGAGGCAAAACGUGCAGGAGACCACAAGAUUAGCCAAGAAGGAAGAGAGCCUCUGAGGAUAGGAAUGAGGAAGACAGGGAACCCUGAUGAAGGAGGGCCUUGGCUACUGAAAGGCCAGCUAAACAGGAGGAAGAAGCGAAGCAAACUGUUUGCAGAAUAUGGUUCCAAUAAAGUGUACAUGAAGAGUGGGAGGAGGAGAAGCACAGAAGCAUGAAAAGAUGAAGGUCACUGAAGAAACACCAAGAGUUCUAAGUGACCUGGAAGGGAACCAGUGGAGACAAUAAUGGAGGGGAAAGGACACAGAAAGAAACAAGUAGUGUGACUGAUUAUAGCAGAGAUAAGGGGGCAGAACGGGGUUUAGGCAUGACCCCCCAGUUACAGCCAAAUGAUUCAGAUCUAUUUCUCACUUAUUUAACUUUUAAAUAUUAAAGGCAAGUACAAAAGAAAAUAGGCAUUUCCAGGUAUUCAGCAGGAUGGUUUCCAUGAAAAAAAUAAAAUAAAAAUUUGGCCAGGCACGGUGACUCACGCCUGUAAUGCCAGCACACUGGGAAGCCGGGGUGGGUGGACUGCUUGAGAUCAGGAGUUUGAGACCAGCCUGACCAACAUGGUGAAACCCCGUCUCUACUAGAAAUACAAAAAUUAGCCAGGUGUGGUGAUGUAUGCCUGUAAUCCCAGCUACUUGGGAGGCUGAGGCAGAAGAAUUGUUUGAACCCAAAAGGCAGAGGUUGCAGUUAUCUGAGAUCACGCCACUGUACUCCAGCCUACGUAACAGAGUGAGACACUGUCUCACACACACACACACACAAAAUCCUGGAGUUUAAUGCAUUUGUUCCUUUCCAGCUCAAUAAGAGCCCAUUAAGCUAAAGUUUAAUUUUAGCCACAGCUUGAGACAAUCUUACUGUCAUCUUCUUGAGAACAGAAUAUAGAUAAAAAAGAAUGGACUAGGAAAAAGUGAAUUCAGGGGAAAAUUUUUUUUCAGUUGUCAGAGAGACCUAACAGAAAACAAAACAACAUAACUCCUUGUAACCAAGACAGGAUAUCAAUAUCCAAGAGAUCUAAGAGAAGAAGGAAUGAACAAGAAUGAGGGACAUCUGACUUAGGAAAGAAAGCAGGUGGCAAUGCAUAGUUCCUCUCAAAUAGAAACAAAGGGCCGGAUGCGGUGGCUCACAUCUAUAAUCCCAGCACUCUGGGAGGUUAAGGUGGGCAGAUUGCUUGUGUCCAGGAGUUCAAGACCAGCCUAGGCAACAUGGUGAAACCCUGUCUCUACUAAAAAUACAAAAAACUAGCCAGGCCUGGUGGCACGUACCUACAGUCCCAGCUACUUGGGAGGCUGAGGUGGGAGAAUCACCUGAGCCCUGAAGGUUGAGGCUGCAGUGAGCUGAGACUGCACCACUGCACUCCAGCCUAGGCAACUAGAGUGAGACCCUGUCUCAAAAGAAAAAAAAAAAAAAAAGGGCAGAAACAAACAAAAAAGCCCUCAGGUUUAUACAGCUAAUUAGUUACAAAGCCUAUUCCCAAGUGCAUCUUCAAGGAUCUUUACAAGAACCCCUGGGAUGGCCAAAGUGGGCAUGGUUAUCCCAUCUUACAGGUGGAGCAACAGAGGCACCUGACCAAGGACACAUGGGUGACCGACACUGAGGACCAGGGCUAGGAGCUCCUAGUCCAAGGCUCUCUCUUAAGCAACCAACUUACCCACAGGAAAA
rnacentral:lncRNA from 1 species